rnacentral:rRNA from 1 species
UAGACUUCAAAUCAGGUGGGACUACCCGCUGAACUUAAGCAUAUCAAUAAGCGGAGGAAAAGAAAAUAACUAUGAUUCCCUUAGUAACGGCGAGUGAACAGGGGAAAAGCCCAUUUGUAAUCUGGCAUCUUUUACAGAUGUCCGAGUUGUAAUUUGUA